GCUGUUGAAGGAUUAUAGUUCAUCCGCUGGUCUUAGGAGCCAGUAAUUCUUGGUGCAAAUCCAAGUAACAGCU
rnacentral:tRNA from 1 species